ACACAUGCAAGUCGAGGGGAAACGGCAUUAAGUGCUUGCACUUUUUGGACGUCGACCGGCGCACGGGUGAGUAACGCGUAUCCAACCUGCCCCUUACCAGGGAAUAACCCGUUGAAAGACGGACUAAUGCCCUAUGCAGUCCUUUGACGGCAUCAGAUUAGGACUAAAGAUUCAUCGGUAUGGGAUGGGGAUGCGUCUGAUUAGCUUGUUGGCGGGGUAACGGCCCACCAAGGCACCGAUCAGUAGGGGUUCUGAGAGGAAGGUCCCCCACAUAGGAACUGAGGCACGGUCCUAACUCCUACGGGAGGCAGCAGUGAGGAAUAUUGGUCAAUGGGCGCUAGCCUGAACCAGCCAAGUAGCGUGCAGGAUGACGGCCCUAUGGGUUGUAAACUGCUUUUAUGCGGGGAUAAAGUCACCCACGUGUGGGUGUUUGCAGGUACCGCAUGAAUAAGGACCGGCUAAUUCCGUGCCAGCAGCCGCGGUAAUACGGAAGGUCCGGGCGUUAUCCGGAUUUAUUGGGUUUAAAGGGAGUGUAGGCGGCCUGUUAAGCGUGUUGUGAAAUGUAGAUGCUCAACAUCUGAACUGCAGCGCGAACUGGCUGGCUUGAGUACACGCAACGUGGGCGGAAUUCAUGGUGUAGCGGUGAAAUGCUUAGAUAUCAUGAGGAACUCCUAUUGCGAAGGCAGCUCACGGGAGUGUCACUGACGCUUAAGCUCGAAGGUGCGGGUAUCAAACAGGAUUAGAUACCCUGGUAGUCCGCACGGUAAACGAUGGAUGCCCGCUGUUGGCGCUUUGCGUCA
rnacentral:rRNA from 1 species